rnacentral:rRNA from 1 species
UACGUAGGGUGCAAGCGUUAAUCGGAAUUACUGGGCGUAAAGCGUGCGAAGGCGGUGGUGAAAGACAGAUGUGAAAUCCCCGGGCUCAACCUGGGAACUGCAUUUGUGACUGCAUCGCUGGAGUGUGGCAGAGGGGGAUGGAAUUCCGCGUGUAGCAGUGAAAUGCGUAGAUAUGCGGAGGAACACCGAUGGCGAAGGCAAUCCCCUGGGCCUGUAUUGACGCUCAUGCACGAAAGCGUGGGGAGCAAACAGG